GUGUGCCGUGUAGUGUAGUUUGUUUUCAAUUUUUUCACGUUGUUAUUGUUUUCUUUUUAUGGUAUCCAACAGGUAUCCAUAACAAACAAACCCAACUGCACUCGAAACGUUCGUUUUUGCCGUCCAAAAUGCUGCACCAAACGGUGUCGCUACACCUCAAAAACGAAAACGACAUUAAUUACCCCAUAAAAAAUUUGACAGCUCCGAAAUUUCACGAUCAUCCGACGAAAUCGGGUGCAUACCAAAUCGUCCUAUUUUUACACCGACGACGUCGAUUGUCGUAGGAUAAAUAUUUUCGUCGCCAGAUUCAUUGAACGAUUAUAACGUGAGCAAUCGGUUGCCUAUUUCAUCGGUAAAAUAAUCGAUUGAUUGUGUACUUAGUGCUUAUUUUGAUAGAUUCAUGAACAGACGAAAUCGAAUCCCCGUGUUCAUAAACAUAGAGUGAAAAAAAAGGAAGGUUCUUCGGUAGUAAGCGAUUAAUAAAGUGUUCAUAGACAUGGCCAGCUUCGUGGAUGGCCACGUACACAAGGGCUUUUUUGCAGUUGAAGAGGACCUGAGGGCGCUCAAUGUUCAGGGCGAUUGGAAGCGAUUGGCCCAGGAUCGAGUCCAGUGGAAAAAAAUACUUAAUUCGGCGUAGGUUCAUCGAAGACCUGUAGCCCAUCAAGUAACAAAAUCAUGAAGUUCCUGCGAUGCCACCCGAUUUGAUAAACCAAUUAAUCCCCCUAUUUCGUCGGAUUCCAUUAUUUUCCACAUCGAUGAAUUUAUAGAUUUAAUCUGAUUUGCUUAAUGAUAAAAUUAAAUAAACCGAUUAA